GUCAUUAAGCUAUGACUCUCUCUUGUUGCCCCUGAUUUGCAAAAUCUUCAGACAAAGGAUUUCUGGACCCUUGCCCAGAACUUGACUGGACUUAAUCCAUCUGUGUCCUCCAGACAAAGCAUUUCUCAAACCUUGACCAGGACUUGCUUGGACUUGUUCAUCUGUGUCCUCGGCAACCUUUGAGACAGUGAUGCAAAAGAAUAAUCUCUUACAAGUGUGUGUCUCUGUUUUACUUGAAGCAGCCUGGAACUGCACUGUUGCUGACUAUUUCUUUCUGAUUGUUAUAAAAAUAAAAACAAAAAGAACAUAGUUAGCUCAACUCCAGAGGAAGAUGCCCAUGCCAAAGAGUACAUCUCUUCAUGAUCACCCUUGGCAAUCACAGUAUCACAGAAUCACAGAAUGGCCUGGGUUGGAAGGGACCUCAAGGAUCAUGAAUCUCCAACCCCCCUGCCGGGCAGGGCCACCAACCUCCCCAUUUACUAGACCAGGUUGCCCAGGGCCUCAUCCAACCUGGCCCUGAACAACUCCAGGGAUGGGACAUCUACAACCUCUCUGGGCAUCCCGUUCCAGCACCUCACCACUCUCCUGGCUCCCUUCAGGUACUGAAAGUCUGCAAUGAGGUCACCCCGCAGCCUUCUUUUCUCCAGGCUGAAUAAGCCCAGCUCAAUAUCUAGGAUGAAAUGCAAAUGAACAGGAGGCCUGAAGAUCCAAUACAAAUGAAAGGCAACUGAAAAGUGCCUUUCAUCAGUUCUAAGGUAGUAAGCAGAAAAGCAAAUGGCAAACAGAACAGUAAAGAUACUCUGAAAUAGCAAAUACUCAAACUGUUUUCAAUCUCUUGUUUCUGUCCAUGUAAUAAUCUAAUUCAUUCCAGAGAUGGGAAUUUUUUAAAAAGCAAAAUAAUCUGAAGAGAUGAUCCUUAUCAGGAAUCUCUCGAAUCAUUACAAAAUAUCAG
ensembl:lncRNA